UUUCGCUCUUGUUGCCCAGGCUGGAGUGCAAUGGUGCAAUCUUGGCUCACCACAACCUCCACCCCCAGGGUUCAAGCAAUUCUGCCUCAGCCUCCCAAGUAGCUGUGAUUACAGGCAGGCACCACCACACCCAGUGGAGUGUGACAAGAGAAGGGACCCGUCUGAGAGUGACUUCAUAUUGUGGAUUUUCACCGCUUACCUCUAGAAACUUGAUUCAGGCAAGUCGGGGGAGUCUCCGGUGUUCUCUGAGAACUCUGUUUUCAUUAUACAGCUGGACGAUGGAAUCUAUGAUGUGCCUGUAGAGUUUAGAGGUGCAUGCUGUUCCAGGAAAUAAUUACAAUUUAGGCAAAUUAUACACGUUUGCUUAAGAGAA